AUUAAAGGGCCGCGGUAUUUUAACCGUGCAAAGGUAGCAUAAUCAUUAGGUUUUUAAUUAGAAUCUUGUAUGAAUGGUUCGACAAAAGAAAUACUGUCUUUAUAUUAAAUUUUGAAUUUAACUUUUAAGUGAAAAGGCUUAAAUAAAUUAAAGGGACGAUAAGACCCUAUAAAACUUUACAUUGAAAUUUUAUUUAAUUGAAUUUAUAAAUAAAGAUUUGAUUUAAUUAUAUGUUAUGUUGGGGAGACAAAAGUAAAAUAAAUUUUAACUGCUUUAUGUAAAAACAUAUAUUUAUGGAUGUUAAAUGAUCCUUUAUAAAGAUUUAAAGAUUAAGUUACUUUAGGGAUAACAGCGUUAUUUUUUUUGAGAGUUCAUAUCGAAAAGAGAGUUUGCGACCUCGAUGUUGAAUUAAAAUAUCUUUAUAGUGCAGAAGCUAUAAAAGAAGGUCUGUUCGACCUUUAAAUUUUUACAUGAUUUGAGUUCA
rnacentral:rRNA from 1 species